rnacentral:rRNA from 1 species
UACGAAGGGGGCUAGCGUUGCUCGGAAUGACUGGGCGUAAAGCGCACGUAGUCGGCUUUGCAAGUCGGUUGUGAAAUCCCCGGGCUCAACCUGGGAACUGCAUCCGAGACUGCAUUGCUAGAGUAUGGGGAGAGGAAAGCGGAAUUUCUGGUGUAGCAGUGAAAUGCGUAGAUAUCAGAAGGAACAUCAGUGGCGAAGGCGGCUUUCUGGACCAAUACUGACGAUCAGGUGCGAAAGCGUGGGGAGCAAACAGG